rnacentral:rRNA from 1 species
CAGUCGCCGCGGGAAUACGUAGGGUGCGAGCGUUAAUCGGAAUUACUGGGCGUAAAGCGUGCGCAGGCGGCUUUGCAAGACAGAUGUGAAAUCCCCGGGCUCAACCUGGGAACUGCAUUUGUGACUGCAAGGCUAGAGUGCGGCAGAGGGAGAUGGAAUUCCGCGUGUAGCAGUGAAAUGCGUAGAUAUGCGGAGGAACACCGAUGGCGAAGGCAAUCUCCUGGGCCUGCACUGACGCUCAUGCACGAAAGCGUGGGGAGCAAACAGGAUUAGAUACCCCGGUAGUCCCUGUCUCUUAUAC